rnacentral:rRNA from 1 species
UACGAAAGGGGCUAGAGAUGUUCGGAAUUACUGGGCGUAAAGCGCACGUAGGCGGCCUUGUAAGUUGGGGGUGAAAUCCCGGGGCUCAACUCCGGAACUGCCUUCAAGACUGCAAAGCUAGAGGACGCGAGAGGUUAGCGGAAUUCCGAGUGUAGAGGUGAAAUUCGUAGAUAUUCGGAAGAACGCCAGUGGCGAAGGCGGCUAACUGGCGCGUUUCUGACGCUGAGGUGCGAAAGCGUGGGGAGCAAACAGG